UUAAAAAAAAGACAGAACAAGCCCCCACCUCCCCCUCACCCCAUAACUCCAAAAUGCCUGAAGGGAUUUUGCUCCAACAUUCACCAAUGGACAAAGACCAACUGUGAGGAAGUUGCUCCCAAAAGCUGAACGCGUGGGAAAUUUAGGAGCAUGUUGAAAAACAGAAAAGUGUUUUGUAGCUUCGCUUUGCACUGGCUGAUGGUGCGACUACUUUGAUACAUAACUGGAUUCCCACAAGUUGGGGUGGGUAGAGCUCUGGGCUGCCAUUUGAUCACCUUUCUAAUGGAAGACAAGAAUCCGGGGACUUUCACUCACUGCUGGCUCUUUCCAUUCCAUGUUCUGCUCUGAUUAGAAAAAAAGAAAGAAAAAAAAAAGUUCUGGCAUAAAUACACCAGACCUGACGAUGAGCAGAAAUGACUGGAUCUAAUUAUUGCUUCUGUCAACACUUAGGACUUAUCAGCUGGGUUGGAGCAGUGGCCUUGUCCCCUUCCCCACAGCCGCCCCUCUGUGCGUGUGUGUGUGUUGUUAGCAGUGAGAUGAUGUUUAAAGGCCCAGGCCGAGGGCUCACCAAAGAUCCAAACAUUUCAAAGCAUCAGACACCCGCAGCUUGCUCUGGACUUUCUCCAGACAGGGGCUGUGCAAAGCAGUGAAAUGCAAGACUCAAGUCUGGAAGGAGGCAUCUUCACUCGGAGUAGCUCACAGCUAAUGGCCCACGUGGAGAGCACAUUCAGCAGUGUGGGGGUGGCAGUGUGGCCUAGUGGCUAGAGUCCUGGACUGGGACUCACAAUACCUGCAUUAUAUUUCUAGCUCUACUGCUGGUCAGCUGCUGUGCCUCAGCUUCCCCAUCUGUCAAAUGGGGGUAAUGAUAAUGAACUCGAGGUGUUCAGAUACUAUGGUGCUGAGCACCACAUAAAAUCUUAGGCCAGAAGGGAACAUUGUGGUCAUUGCUGACCUCCUGUAUAUCACGGGCCAUGGAACUUCCUCAGAAGAAUUCCUAAAACAGAUCUUUUAGAAAAACAUCCCAUCUUGAGUUAAAAAUGGUUAGUGAUGGAGAGUCCACCAUGACUCUUGGUAAAUUGUUCCAAUGGCUAAUUACUCUCACUGUUAAUAAUGUGCACCUUAUUUCCAGAAUUAAUUUGUCUAGCUUCAACUUCCAGCCAUUGGAUUGUGGUAUACCUUCCUCUGCUAGACUGAAGAGCCCAUUAUUAAAUAUUUGUUCCCCAUGUAGGUACUUACAGACCAUGAUCAAGUCACCCCUUAACCAUCUCUUUCUUAAACUAAAUAGAUUGAUCUCCUUGGCCUGGUCUACACUACAAGUUUAUGUCAGAUUUAGCAGAGUUAAAUCGAAUUAACCCUGCACCCAACCACACAACAAAGCCAUUCUUUUCGACAUAAAGGGUACUUAAAACCGAUUUCUGUACUCCUCCUCGAUGAGGGGAUUAGCGCUGAAAUCGACGUCGCUAUUUCGAAUUAGGAUUAGUGUGGACGCAAUUUGAAUGUUUUGGCCUCCGGGAGCUAUCCCAUAGUGCACCAUUGUGACCGCUCUGGAUAGCACUCUGAACUUGGAUGCACUGGCCAGGGGUACAGGAAAAGCCCCGGGAACUUUUGAAUCUCAUCUCCUGUUUGGCCAGGCGAGCUCAUCAGCACAGGUGACCAUGCAGUCCCAGAAUCGAAAAACAGCUCCAGCAUGGACCGAACGGGAGGUACUGGAUCUGAUUGCUGUAUGGGGAGAGGAAUCCGUGCUAUCAGAACUAUGUUCCAAAAGACGAAAUGCCAAAACAUUUCAAAAAAUCUCCAAGGCCACGAGGGACAGAAGCUACAGCAGGGAUGCAACACAGUGCCCCGUGAAACUUAAGGAGCUCAGACAAGCAUACCAGAAAACCAAAGAAUCAAACGGACGCUCCGGGACAGAGCCCCAGACAUGCUGCUUCUACGCUGAGCUGCAUGCAAUUCUAAGGGGGACCGCCACCACUACCCCACCCCUGUCCGUGGACGCCGAUGAUGGGGUACUCUCCGCCAUGCCUGAGGAUUUUGCGGACAGGGAAGAUGAGGAGGAGGACAAGCUUGAGGAGGUCACACAGCACACUGUUCUCCCGACAGCCAGGAUCUUUUUAUCACCCUGACCGAAAUACCCUCCCAACCCAACCAAGCCAGAUAAGGGACCUCUGCAGCUGCAAAUGUUUCAAGCCUCCCUCCUCCGUCCCAAAGGCUAUCUCAGAUAAGGCAGCGAAAAAAACGCACACGUGAUGAAAUGUUCUCUGAGCUCAUGCAGUCGUCCGGCACUGACAGAGCUCAGCAGAAUGUGUGGAGGGACAAAAUAGCAGAGUACAGGAAAGCGGCCGAUGAGCAUGAGGAGAGGUGGUGGCAGGAAGAUCAGAGGAGGCAUGAGGCAACGCUGGGGCUACUGCCGGAUCAAACGGACAUGCUCUGGUGUCCGGUGGAGGUUCAUGAAUGGCAGCAGGAUCACAGACUGCCGCUGCAGUCCCUAUUUAAUCGUGCUCCCUCCUCCCCAAGUUCCAUGGCCUCCUCACCCAAACACCCAAUAACGCGCGGGGGGAGGCUCUGGGCACCCAACCACUCCACCCCAGUGGACAGCCCAAGCAACAAAAGGCCGUCAUUCAACAAGUUUUGAAGUGGCCUUUUCCUUCCCUCCUACCCUCCUCCCACACCCCACCCGGGCUACUUUGUGAGUUAUCUCCCUAUUUUUAUAAUCAAUUAAUAAAGAAUACAUGUUUUUUAAA